GCUGCUGCAGAGGCUUCCCGCCGGCGGCCGGCGCGGGGCCCGGCUCCGCGGGGCGCCCGGCACUGCCCACCCCCCGCCCCGGGCUGGCCCUGGGGAGCGCUGAGCGCCGGAGGAGGCCGGACUGGGGUAGCCAUAAGCGCCUAUACAUUUGCCUGGUGGGAGCAUGGACAAUGUUACCCUGUAGGAUGUGGACCAGCCCCUGCGCUUGAGCAUUUGGUUGGUACUGUGUGCUGAACCCUUUGCUGUGACUGGAGAUAAUCAUAAUUUAGUGCAGUGGUAAGCAGUAAGAGGAGAAAAGGUUUACUGGUGACACGUGAGGAGUUUCAGGAUGCAUCCAUUGCUUCUCCACAGCAUACAUGUGAGUGUGACAGUGAGGCCUCACCUGCUUAUAAGCCAAAGACAAAAGACAGACCUUCAUGCUCCAACCAUUAGUGUGGCCAACACGUUUGCCUAAAAUGGUGGGAUUUGAAAGACAUACCCAAAAAGCUCUGCUCAAACUGCGCUUUCUCCUACCCAAUUCAAAAUCACUUCAGCAAGAGUUGUAGUGGGACCAGUAGAGAGCGACUCUUCAUGCAAACAACUUCCAAUUUAUACUCAGGGGAACCACAUGAGGGAGCGCUUUUACCUUCCAAAAAUGACAUUCUCCCCAGGGGAAUCCCUGCGAGUCUUCUUGCUUCACACCUCUCCACUGGGACUCCAAAGUGACUUGCCUUUCUUUGUUAACAUGGGUGAGUAAAGCUCAGUAGCCCCUCAAGCUCACUGGUCACUCUUCUUUCUCCAGCAGAAGACAAGGGUUGACACUUUGGAUUCAUUGUUUAUUGUCCUGGCACCAGAGUUGAUACCUUAGCACUGACAUGACGUGCUGUUACUUUCACUAACCGUUUGGGUUGACUAUCCAUUCUGGAUUUCAGCAGGGUACAUGAAAGGAGAUGGCACAUCUUAUUUAGCUACCCAGCUUCACAGGAGUCUCCCUAUUUAAACACUUUUUAAAUGUAUAAACCAGGCACGGGUUCUUUGCAUGAAUUUCUGGGAAUGCUUGUGAAAGUAACAUCUACCCAAACAACCACUCUGACAUCUUGUUAUCCAACCCAAACUGCCCUAGUUACAGCAGUAUGGCAAACUGGCUAUACAACAUCUGGUAAUAACGUGAUUUUUGAGGAACCAGCUCUGCUCUUCCUCCUGAGAAUAAAGAUAAACCUGCAGUUUAUCCACUGCUGUUCUGUAGUUACACUCCUGCAUUGGAGGAGGCACAGGAAACAGACUGCCACGUCCUCUUCCUCCAUGCCCACUCACCCCUGAGCCCUCUGAGAUUGCCAUUACCAGUGACAGCUAUUGCCAUGAUAGUUUUACGUACCCAUUGAGACAGGCACUAAAGUCAUCAUUUAGGUUUUUUUUUUAAUUACAUUUAGUGUAAGAGGAGCUUUCCAUUGACUGGUAUUUGCAACUAGCAAAAGGUUUAUGGAAAGGUGUCCACCUACAGUACUCGCCAGCCCAGUGAGGUACCUGACACCUUUAUUAUGACACAGGUACUGUAGAAACACUGAGCCAUAAUUAUUCAUACAACUGUAUUUUAUGUAUUUCUUAGAUAUAUGUAUCAUAGUAGGAAAAGAAAUAACUAGUGUUGCUAGACAAAUACACCGUUUUUAUAGCAGUACUACCUCUAGUCUUUCAUCUAUUGGUCAGUCACAAAAUACUGCACAGUAAGGCUUCCUAACUGACUUUCUAGAUUUUAGUUUCUUACUCUUAGGCAAUAAAACCUCCCCUUCAAUAAUUCUGCUUAUUUCUUUUUUUAAGAUAUUGUCUCUCUGCAUGCGUUGGAAAAGUAAUCACUUGACAUGACCGAUGAAGCAGGCAUGUUCCAAAAUUGAUUAAGCCCCUCCUCAUCAGAAGAAAAAAAGAUGCAGAAAAACCUGUUGUUUCACAGAGAAAUGAACUGAAGUAGCAGUACUGGUGAUCUAUGACAAUUUAAAGUUCUCCAGAAAUUAAGGGUAAAUUAAGAUCUACAAGUUAUUGCCAGGCAUCUCAGUUUUACUAGUAAGUGGGAUGAUGAGAAUGGAAGCAACUCAUUUUAAUAAGUGGGUCUUUGUGGAGAGAUAUAUGGGGGGGAAAUAUGUUUUGUAGCCAUUUGCUACCCCUAGAUGUCCUAUGCAGAUGCUGGUGAAGAAGCUAGAUUUUAAAAGAAAGGUGGAUACAGUAAGAUUGAUGGGAACAGUUUGUCAACAAGUAUUGCUAGGGAGCAUGCACAAGAGUUAAUAAAACAAAUUAUGCACCACAUUUUCUUUUUAAACAAGCUUUAAAUAGUCCAUAUUUAACAGAAUCAUGUGUUACAGACAAGAAAUUCUUGCUGCCAAAGCACAAGAUGAGUGUUUUUCCCCUUGUUUUUCCAAAUUACAGACUUACUGAAAAAAAACAGUAUUUCAGGAAUUUAAAAGAAUUUUAAAAAUAAAAUUAUGCUACAAAAACAAAAAAGGCCAGUGGAAGAGACCAGUGAAGUACAUGAAUAAGUCAUCAGAAGAAUGUUAGCAAACAGAAGCACUUACAAAAAACCCACACAGGAGUGGACAUAAAGGCUUUAAAGACACAGAUACUAUGGAGGCUAAUUCAGUGUCAAACAGCAGAAUGCAUGGGCUUUAUAAUAAAAUCUGUAAUUCAUGCAGUUGUGUGUGCAGAUAAUAUAUAUUUAAAGCCAUGUAUUUAAAUACCUCAGAGAAGACACCUAAACUCCUCCCCAGUAAUAUCAACUGGCUUCAGGGAAGAAUUUAACCCAGGUUUAUUUGUUUUUAUAUACUGGCCUAAUCCAAAACCACAAUAUGUAAAAAGAAACAAAGUGAAAGAAAGAAACCAGGUAUUUUAUCUGAGCUGUUCAGAGACACUGAGACAAAGAUCCAUACGCACUUUUUGGUAAUUACAGUCACUGGAAUGUUAUGGCAGGAACACCAGCCCAGACAGUUCUCAGCUGUGUUUCAGAAAGUUACUCCAGGAAGAAUGAUCCAGGGGUUGAGUGGGGAAAAAACAGAAAUUAACCCUGUAGUACAAACAUACAUACAUAGAUGGCUCUUUUCACAACAAAAUAAGAUAGCACUACUGAAUAUGUGGCAGUAUGGAGUGUGUAUUAAGAGACACAAGUGAAAUCUGCUUGGGUCACCUUCACUCAGAGGGAUAAGUCUUAAAAUAUAAUAAUAAUAAUAAUAAUAAUAAUAAUACUUCUUUAUACUUGCCACUUGUUAGCAAUUGUUUACAUCGUAGAAAAAUAGAUAGUAUUCUGUAACAAGAAAUAUAGUUACUUUGUUAAAAUGGGCUAUUUUAAACCAGCUACUAUUCUGUCAUAUAAAGAAUUUCUAAACAGCAAAACAAAAAUAGGUAAUACUGAGUGCAAAACAGCCAGUGGUAUACUUUGCAUUGGUCUGAAACACUAGUUGCCAGCUACUGUAAUUACAUAUUCUGUACACAGUAUUACAAAAGUCUUCAUCUUUUAGAAGCUUGGGGGGGGGGGGUUGUUUUUCUUCUCUCUAGGUGGCAAAUAAGUAUUUAAUCCAAGUAAUUUCAAACUCUGGAAGUCAGAAAUAAUUUCACAAUCAAUCUUCA